AUUGAACGCUGGCGGCAGGCCUAACACAUGCAAGUCGAACGAGUGGCGGACGGGUGAGUAGUGUCUGGGAAACCGCCCGAUGGAGGGGGAUCACUUCUGGAAACGGUAGCUAAUACCGCAUACCCUCGGAUGUGCCCAGAUGGGAUGGGCUAGUAGGUGGGGUAAAGGCUCACCUAGGCGACGAUCCCUAGCUGGUCUGAGAGGAUGACCAGCCAAACUGGAACUGAGACACGGUCCAGACUCCUACGGGAGGCAGCAGUGGGGAAUAUUGCACAAUGGGCGCAAGCCUGAUGCAGCCAUGCCGCGUGUAUGAAGAAGGCCUUCGGGUUGUAAAGUACUUUCAGCGGGGAGGCGUUACCCGCAGAAGAAGCACCGGCUAACUCCGUGCCAGCAGCCGCGGUAAUUC
rnacentral:rRNA from 1 species